rnacentral:tRNA from 1 species
GGCCCCAUCGUCUAUCGGUUAGGACGCCAGGUUUUCAUCCUGGCAAGCAGAGUUCGACUCUCUGUGGGGUCA